rnacentral:lncRNA from 1 species
GCAACUGCAGUUUCUUCCUACCAACUUCGAACGGAGAAGAAAGCAAAAAGGGGGAGAAAAAAAGUUGCAGACUUUCAAUCAGUCCACCAGCAACUCCAAAUUCUUCCAAUCCAAAUCCAUUUCCACCCACCAAAAAUUUCUCAUUCGCUGGUAUGCUCCCCCCACACACUUAAAUAAUUAUGCGCCUUUGAUUCUUCGGGAUUUUAUUCCACCCAAAAAAAAAAUCAAGUUGUUUGUAAGCUCUCGCCACUGUCCGAUCAUGGCUUGUUUCCCAGCAUUUCCUUCUCCAUUCAUGUCCAAUCUUCUUAUCGUAAGUAUUUUGUAUGCUUAGGGUUUCUGGGCUUCCGGUUUUUUUUUCAUUUCUUAAUCCCGUCGUUUCAUACUGUUCGUCCGUAUUUAGGGUUUUGAAAAAUUGAUCAGAUCUUCUGAUGAUAUGUA